CAAACAACCUAGGACAUAAACCAACCAAGCCUAGAAACACAAUACUGGCCACUAACAAAAGAGAGGCGAGAGACUGAACAGAUAAGUAGACAAAUGCAUGAAAAGCUAAAAAGAGACAACUUAAGCAGACUCAUCAUAUGCUUCAAACUGGAGUCCAUACAUGCUGAAGCUGAGAAACUUAAGCAGACUCAUAUGCUUCUUGACCUUAAGCAACCACCAUACGCCAGACACGUUUAACAUGUCCAGAAAAGCUUAUAUUAAGGAUCGAGGAUAAGCAAAAAGUUGAGUUUCUGGAGAUAAUAUGUCCAGAAAAGCUUAUAUUAAGGAUCGAGGAUAAGCAAAAAGUUGAGUUUCUGGAGAUAAUAUGCCUGGUUCAUAUAUUAUUAGUCUUGUAUUCAAGCAGAUAUAUUUGGGCCUCCAGGAGCAGUUACAGAAACCAGUUCCAGUUGGAAAGGAUAAUUUAACUUGGACAUUAUUGAAAAACAAAAACUCUAAACAUUGUCAUCAAGAUCCCUCGAUGAUUGAAGAAUCAACAGAGAUAUUUAGCAAGCUUAACGUUGCUGUCAGGGUGAUGCAUGAGUGUUUUCAUCCUUUCAAGAAUAUGCGGACUGGGAACGAUUUGGUUGAAGACAUUAUUUUCAACAGAAGGUAGAACCAAUUUAUUCAGAAUCUAUGUCCUGCUCAAAGACGUGACAUUGUUUAUCAAUAGUAUAUAUGUAUAAGCUUGUGCUAAUUUUUUUUUAUACCAAGGUAUGAUUCUAAAAGAAGUUACUAGUAUGAUAUCCUUAUAUGCUGAUUAUUAUUAACGUAUUAGCUCACUAUCAAUUUGUUAAAAAUUAUUAUUUCCUGAUUUCUUCUUCUAUUUAUUCGUGAAUGUUUCCUGCCCUUUGCAGAAGUUUGCCUCUUGCCCUGAGUGUGGGUCCCACUAUAUUUCAUCUGAAAUAUAAUAUUGCCUACACAUCAUAUUUUUAGUAACAACUGUAGACUUGGUUGUUUCUAUAUAAAUCAUCUGAGUUUAGAAUCUGAAUAUGUUAAAUUUCUGACUUAAUGCAAUAUCCGGACUCUCAUGUCAAAGUGUCCAGUGGGUGCUUCACUUGUAUCUUAUAGUAUCAUUAUAUGUACUUGAUCUUGAGUUGAUGACUUAAUUAUAGCAAUUAUUAAACUUUGAAAAGUUUGCAUUGUAUGCUGGUCAUUUCAUUUCUGAUGGCUGUGGCGUAUAAUGUGUAUUUACUUGAGGUUUAUAGUCUUUUUCGCAAAUAAUUAUGAUUGGUCUGACAUGAGUAAUAUAUCAGAUCAGAGCAGCACCAUGUAAAUUAUGAGGGGUUCUAUACAAUUCUUCUGGAAAAAAAUGAAGAACUAAUUACAGUGGCUACUGUAAGGUAUGUUAUAUGCUUAAAUUGCCUUGCUGAGUUCCAUUCUCUUCUUCUGAAAAGUUAGUAAUUACCGUUUUCUAAAAACAUUUCUUUCCCUCUGAAUUAGGGUUCUUGGAAAAGAAGUUGCGGAAGUCCCUCUUGUUGCUACUCGUUAUAGUUACCGCCAACGUGGAAUGUGCCACACUUUAAUGAAUGAACUUGAAAAGGUAAGCCUCUCAGAACUUUUUUCUUUUUAACAAUCUGUAAAAGAAUAUUUUCCUAAAGAAUUCUGGAUUUCCAAAAUGAAUUUUUAGAACUCAGCUGGCUGCAUCAGAGUACUGUUUCUUUAUGUCAGCUUUGUCUUUAGUUUUGCUUUCUUAGAAUGCAUUCUAACUAAGAUUUGGAAGAAAGUAGGACAAUUUGAAGGAGAAACAAAGAACAUAAACAAGGGCCAAAGUGGUUUUCCAGUCACCUGAAUGGGAAACAUAUAUCGUAGUAUGUUGUAGUUUUACCUAAUCGCACUUAUCAUCAUUUGCCUGGGUAGUCCAGAUGGAUUCAGGACUGUUAAGAAAUAGAUUCCUAGGUGCGUGGCUAUAAAUUGGUUUUUAAGGUUCAGUAAUGUAAAUGAAUGAAUAUGCAAGGGGUCCUUCUUGCUCAGAACUGGAGCUGUGUUUUUCAGUUAUUAAGAUUAUAUUACUAGGGAUAUAACUCUUCCAAAGUUUGACACCAUUCACAUGAUUUCAUUGAGUUUCAAGUAAAUACCAAAACUCGGGUUUAGAGACCAUAUCUACCAUUUUAGUUGCAAAUUCAGAAAUGUUUAUUAUGAGUAGAUUAUCUCCAAAAGCAAAAAUUGACAAACAAACAUGGAAGAGUAUCGAAUCUCCAAAAAUACUCAUUUAUGUAUUACUCUUCCUUCUCUGUUCUUUCUCCUGACCAACCAUGAUUUUCUCUUCUUUCUCGACACCUCCGUGAGAACAUAGUUAAUACAACACGUAUAUGUAAUAUAUACAUGAUGAUACACAUAAUGGUAUGUGGUUUUCCUUAUAAGGGAUCCGCAUUUUAUGUUGGAGCAUCUGGCAGACUGGCACAUACUUGGUAUUUCCGCUGGUGCUCUCUGAAAAAUGUGAAACAAGGCCUUCAGCCUAACUAUUCUUAAAUUUCACAUGAAAAAAGGUUAUAUAAGUGAAAAACUAUUAGUUCUCCUCUCAAGUGUGGGCAUUAAUAGUGUUGAAAUUAGCAUUUACUCCCUCCGUCCCAAUGGGUUCCUAACAUUGUUGUUGGGCACAUAGUUUAAAAAAAGUGACGAAAGGUAAAGAAAAGAUAAAAAAUGGUGCAAGUUGGUAGGACUUAUUAAUAUUAGUUAAAAAAAAUAUGCUAUUGUAAAAAAUGUUAAGAAAUCCCAAAAUAGAAAGUAUUAAGAAAUUAAUGGGGCGGAGGGUUUAUAUUGUUUCUAGGCGUUAGGUUAAUUAUUGCAACCAAGGUUGAUGACUGAUAUUGAGGCACAUCAUUUGGUGAAAAGAAGAAAAUGUGGAAAUUAGUUGCCAUGUUUCAUGGGUCACCUUAAAAUAAAAGGGUCGGAGCAACUUGACGAGAAUGUGAGCAAGAGCGAGGGGGUGAGGGUAAUGGGGACAUAAAGGGUGGGGUGGGGAGUUAGGGAGAAGUGAAUAAAGACACAGGGACACACACACAUGUUAGGGGGCUGAGGGUAGGAGCUCAUGUAAUUUGAACUCUAUUGUAGUUUUACAAAAAGUGUAAUCUUAAUAUAAUAUCAUUGAAGGCUAAUGUUCUUAGGAAAAUGCACAAUAUGAACAGUGAUAUUUGUGUAUUUUUAUCAGAGCUCUAAACCCCUGGAAUGGACGUAUAGCUGAUUCUUUCUACUUCAUUAUCAUUCUUGGUUACAGGUUCUCAUGCGAUUAGGAGUUCAAAGGGUGAUUUUGCCUGCUGCGCCAAGUGCACUAAACACAUGGAUAUCUUCAUUCGGAUUUUCUAUAAUGCCCAAAUUGGAGAGACAAAUAUAUAUUAGUUGCAAUGUCCUUUCUUUUGAAAGCAGUACAAUGUGCCAGAAAAUCUUGUUGCAUAAUCAGAGCAUAUCAGUUCCAGUUAGUAUGUGCCCUCCCCCCCUCUUUAUAUAUAUAAAAGCAAAUACAUCUAAAUAUUUAAUAGACUAAUGUUUUUGUUUCUGCAAUUUAUGCAGGAAAUGGACAAGAAAUUUGUGAUGAUAGAAUUGGAAAUACUGAUACAAAUUCACCUGGGCUUGGAAAUACUCCUGGUUCAGAAGUAUCUCAAAGAAAUGAUUGAAUGAGAUUUGUAGGUAAUGUUGCCCUAUUUUUGUAGCUUUCAGAACUCAGAAGUAUAGAAUUAUAUAGGUGAAGCUAUAUCUUCAUAAUUAUAAGAAAGGUGACAAAUUUUCAUUUUGAGCUAAAGUUGUAUAGACCUUCAGUUGCUUCUUACUAUUUCUAAUUUUAAAAAUGGAGCAUAAUUUUCUUUGUCCUCAAUUUGCAGCUUUCGUACAUAGUUCUGCUCGACUCCAUUACUAUGAUUAUCUAGAAUCCUGAACAUAUGCAGUACAGACGGUGUUAUUGCACGAGUCUGUUGUUGUAAUGAAAUCAGUCAAGUGCUGAAAGAUUAUAUGGGAUGGCGAUGAUGACCCAGUGCAAUGGCAUCAGCAGGGAUACCGGGCACAUAUAUUAUAGGUAUGUAGCUGGUGCAUUAUGUAUAUGUAUCUUCUUUCUAUGCUACAGUUGUAUUAUGUUAGGUUUUUCUUUGGCAGUGAACUUAGGCUAGUGAAGAAGAGGUCAUUUGUAAACUUAUGUAUAAACAUAAUCUGUGUAGCGCUUUCUUUGUUAAUUUUGGAUUUGAACUACAGCAUAGUGGGAAUUGAUGACAUUGUAACAGAUGUACUUGUAUAUUAUCUGUAUUAGGCUUUUAAAUAGUUAUUGUCUUUAUUUAUCUCGCUCUUGCAUUACGAAUUCAUCUGCAUGUACCCCCCCAGUGGGUGUUCCUUGCAUUUAUCUACUAUUUGAUUUUGACGUUGCUAGGCUACUUUUUGAUAUUCUACUUUCAGUUAAACCGAGUUUAUUGUUAGUGGACGGAAAAUUUUACCUCAACCCUUAGUCUUAGUUUGGUUAUGGUUGCGGUUGUGUAAUUUACAAAACCGAAACUGAAGCAUGAGUUUGGUUAUGGUUGCAUUUGUAUCAUUAAACCAUCUCUACUUGGUAGCUGGUGGGUCAACGGUUUGGUGUUCAUCAUCUGUGCUCGUGGUGAACUGCCCAAAUUUGACGUUGAGUUAGAAAAUAGUUCCCGCAAUGUUUUAAGGGCUAAACGGCUCACUGCACAUUUACAGGAGGGUUAUCAAGUUGAAAAAACUUGGUCAACUAGUUAAACAUCAACAACUCAAGUUGCUGACUAGUGAUAAAUCCCCAACUCAUUUUAACCUUUAUUAUCUUUACCAUAUUUAAUCUUGGCUUGGUAUCGUCGUACCAUUAUGAGCCUAAUAGUGUUUUUUUUGAUAAGCAACAUAGUAAAUAUAUUAUGAAUCUCUGAAUGUCUUACAACCUGAGCCACCAAAAGAUUACACAGCUUUGGCUUACAACACUAGCCUAAACAUCCAAACAACCUAGGACAUAAACCAACCAAGCCUAGAAACACAAUACUGGCCACUAACAAAAGAGAGGCGAGAGACUGAACAGAUAAGUAGACAAAUGCAUGAAAAGCUAAAAAGAGACAACUUAAGCAGACUCAUCAUAUGCUUCAAACUGGAGUCCAUACAUGCUGAAGCUGAGAAACUUAAGCAGACUCAUAUGCUUCUUGACCUUAAGCAACCACCAUACGCCAGACACGUUUAACAUGUCCAGAAAAGCUUAUAUUAAGGAUCGAGGAUAAGCAAAAAGUUGAGUUUCUGGAGAUAAUAUGUCCAGAAAAGCUUAUAUUAAGGAUCGAGGAUAAGCAAAAAGUUGAGUUUCUGGAGAUAAUAUGCUUAAGGCUCCACCACCUUCCAACAAAGUCCCAUGCUCAGGUCGCGGGGAGAAAAUGUGACUUGCCGGUAAACCCACACCAGGGACAACUAGUAGUAUCAAUAUUCUUGAGCCUAUCAUUGAGGAAGGAUUUAGACCGCUAAAUUCCCCAAGCAAGUUUCCAAAGGAACG
rnacentral:lncRNA from 1 species